CUAAUUCCCGCCAAAUUUCAAAGGGUUGUUUCAGACUGAGCCAAGCAAAGCAGAAAGGAAGAGGCCCUUGAAGGGACUGAAGCAGAAAGGGAAAGACAGAGAAGGGGAGAAUGAGUGCUCUAUAAAAGGCAUGUCACUGGAAUGACUUUGUGAAGCCUCCAGUGUGCUAGUGGGCUGAUGAAGAGGUGGAGCCUUCAUUCAACAGCUGGUGGAAGUAGAAGCCGACACCCACAGCUAAACACUGAACUGAACUGGAAUCCAGUUGCAGAGAAGGACGAAUGAAGAGCAAAGGGGUCAAGACCAAGCUGGUGAAACCUACAGAAACAGCUGACCUGAACAGGGGGAGCUCAUGGCCCCCAGACAGAUCACUGGGAAACCAGCAUAGGACUGAUCCAGACCCCAUGAAUGUGGGUGUCAGUGAGGAGGCCUUGGAAAUCUAUGGGGCUUCUUGUAGUGAAUCAGUACUUAUCCCUAGGAUAGGAAUGGACUUUGGGAACCCAUCCAACAUGGAGGGAUACUCCCUGAGCCAAGACACAUGGGGGAGGGCCUAGGCCCUAUCCCAAAGGAUAGGAGAGACUCUGAAGCCCCCUAUGAAAGGCCUCACCCUCCCUGGGGAGCAGAAAGGGUAUGGGAUAGGUAGGGUGUUGGGGG
rnacentral:lncRNA from 1 species